rnacentral:rRNA from 1 species
GACAGAGGAUGCAAGCGUUAUCCGGAAUGAUUGGGCGUAAAGCGUCUGUAGGUGGCUUUUUAAGUCCGCCGUCAAAUCCCAGGGCUCAACCCUGGACAGGCGGUGGAAACUACCAAGCUGGAGUACGGUAGGGGGCAGAGGGAAUUCCUGGUGUAGCGGUGAAAUGCGCAGAUAUCAGGAGGAACACCGGUGGCGAAGGCGGGUCUCUGGGCCGAUACUGACGCUGAGGAGCGAAAGCGUGGGGAGCGAACAGG